CAGAGUGGGAAGUGGAGAAAAACAGACGGAUGGGCUGACGCUGCAGUGAAUCAUCAAUCUGGUUUGCUCACUUCCUCCCUCACAGGCUCCAAAGAUCCAAGGAGAAAUCUGUCUCAGAUUAGAGCACUUCCGCUAGCAGCCGAGGCCGAGCGACAAGAAAAGAGAAAGGAUGAGAUGGAGUGGAUAAACUGGGAGAAAGAUGGACGUGUUUCAAUGAUGAGUUUAACGUAAUGGAAUCAAGGGACAGUUUAGGCAUUCAAACUCCUGUCACUUUCUUCUGUCGAACACAAAAGAGCUACAGAAGAAGACACAUCAGUCCCGUCAGUGAAGGGUCCAGUGUCUCCAGAAAGCGGUCAUAUAUUCCACCAGCGGCUCUCCCAGAAGAGAUACGGGCUUCAUCAAUCAGCUUGAGCGGUACGGAUGACACAAUGCUUCCAGUGUUUCACCAAGAGCUGACAUGAGGAAACCCCAAACAGCAGACCCUCAACACCCAAACUACAGAAAAAACCUCACGCGUCGGAUCGAGAAGGACUGGAAGGCUUCAAAACCAAACUUGAUUAAAGGAGACUUGAGCUGGGAAAGAAUUCCGGUUGAGUGUAACAGGAGAGUUUAAGUGCACAAAGAAGAAGGGAAGUUCUUUACACUGUGCUGAUUGCAGUGUGUGUGUGUGUGUGUGCGUGUGUGUGUGCGUGUGAAGUGCAAUUACAGGCUUUUCAGAGCACUGCCCGCCCAGCUGCUCGACAAACACAGAGAACGAGAGAGAGAGAGAGGGAGAGAGAGAGAGGGAGAGGGAGAGAGAGAGAGAGAGAGAGAGACUUCCCAAGCCAACUUCUCUGUUCUCUCAUAUUUGGUUUCCAAACAAAUUAAGGAAAAGUAAAGUGUGUCCAAAUGACAAAUUAAUAGUAAAAAGGAGUAAAAACUGUGCGUGUGUGUAUGUGUGUGUGUUUGGUGGUGGGUUAGUGACAAAUUCCCACUCAGCUCAGAAAGGAAAAUCCUUUCAAACUUCCCUAAUCCUAUAACCAAGAAUGUGUCAAAACUCAAUCCAAGCUAAAACUUUCAGCACUGUCAGCUUUCUAGACUGGCGGUAUAAUGAGGAGGAGAGAAAAGUUGCAAAACUUACGGAAGAAGUGUUUGAAGAGGUUAGCCAUAUCCAUUUUGGGCUAUCCCAGCACUUCCCUCGGCAGCUGUGCAACUAUUCCAUGUGAAACACCCUCCCACGAGUCAACCGCUCUCCGCCUGGACAACAAUCGGCUGCCUGACCAUGUGACCAGAGUGAACCAAUCGCAAUCACUCCCUCCUCCAGCAUUACUAGUCUUCCCCCCAUACAUACAUAGUGAACUCAUGGUGACUAGCAGGCAACGCUGACUGCCUAUAAUGACUGAUCUUCAUCGACAGCAGCAAGUUAACCCAGUUUGUUCAUACUAAAACAAGAACAUGUCACUUGUUCGGACAUGUUAUCAAUGGGUUAUUGUUUUUUUAUGUACCAUGAAAAUACUAUGAUGUUAUAGCAUAGUAUUUUAUAGCAUCUGAUACAAA